rnacentral:rRNA from 1 species
UACGGAAGGUCCGGGCGUUAUCCGGAUUUAUUGGGUUUAAAGGGAGCGCAGGCCGGCUUUUAAGCGUGACGUGAAAUGUGGAUGCUCAACAUCUGAACUGCGUCGCGAACUGGAGGCCUUGAGUGCAUUCGACGCCAGCGGAAUUCGUGGUGUAGCGGUGAAAUGCUUAGAUAUCACGAAGAACUCCGAUUGCGAAGGCAGCUGGCGAGGCUGUAACUGACGCUAAAGCUCGAAGGUGCGGGUAUCGAAC